rnacentral:sRNA from 1 species
UCUUGUCGAAACUCUUAAAAGAGUGCGGGGGAUAUUUUUGGGGUGAAUCUUAAUUAUAAGUAGGGUACCUCUAACCCGAACCCGUCAACUAACCUCGUAGACAUUAUGGAGGGA